rnacentral:sRNA from 12 species
UUCUAGCCUUGCGAUAUUCUUUGAAAAGAGAAUAUGGUGAGUGCUUGGGCUACAUGCUCUCUUGCUAGGGUUGUGUUGUUAGAAUGCAAUCAUAAAAUACAACUGCGACAUGCGUGAAGUGGUGGUGAUAUAACAAAGUAAGAGAGCUACUGAGG